AGGAUUCAAUUAAUCAGGCUUAUAAAAUGCUCAGCACAGUACCUGGCACACAGUAAGUACUUGAUGAGAAGACUAUGUUUCCCUCAAGCCACACAGCCAGCAUGUGGUGGAGCUGGAAUUUGUUGCCGGCUGAAUCUUCUGCCCCAGGACUCAGAACUUACAAAUUUUUGAACUCCUUUAAUUCCCUCUUUCCUUCCGAUUCCUUAGGAAUGAGCAUG